CACUCCUGCGGGAGGCAGCAGUGGGGAAUUUUGGACAAUGGGCGAAAGCCUGAUCCAGCCAUGCCGCGUGCAGGAUGAAGGCCUUCGGGUUGUAAACUGCUUUUGUACGGAACGAAACGGCCUUUUCUAAUAAAGAGGGCUAAUGACGGUACCGUAAGAAUAAGCACCGGCUAACUACGUGCCAGCAGCCGCGGUAAUACGUAGGGUGCAAGCGUUAAUCGGAAUUACUGGGCGUAAAGCGUGCGCAGGCGGUUAUGUAAGACAGUUGUGAAAUCCCCGGGCUCAACCUGGGAACUGCAUCUGUGACUGCAUAGCUAGAGUACGGUAGAGGGGGAUGGAAUUCCGCGUGUAGCAGUGAAAUGCGUAGAUAUGCGGAGGAACACCGAUGGCGAAGGCAAUCCCCUGGACCUGUACUGACGCUCAUGCACGAAAGCGUGGGGAGCAAACAGGAUUAGAAACCCCAGUAGUCCCAUGAU
rnacentral:rRNA from 1 species